rnacentral:antisense_RNA from 1 species
CUUCACCGACCCCAGCCACAGGGGCCGCUCACGCCCCUGUCCGUAUGUGGCCAGCAACGCCUGGGCCUC